rnacentral:rRNA from 1 species
UACAGAGGGUGCGAGCGUUGUUCGGAAUUAUUGGGCGUAAAGGGCGCGUAGGCGGCGCCACAAGUCACUUGUGAAAACUCUGGGCUCAACUCAGAGCCUGCAAGCGAAACUGUGGUGCUGGAGUAUGGGAGAGGUGCGUGGAAUUCCCGGUGUAGCGGUGAAAUGCGUAGAUAUCGGGAGGAGCACCUGUGGCGAAAGCGGCACACUGGACCAUAACUGACGCUGAGGCGCGAAAGCUAGGGGAGCAAACAGG